rfam:Enterobacter phage IME11, complete genome.
UACCCAGUAGGCUUAGUGGUAAAGCCCCACUAGUAAACCAACUAGGACGCAGGUUCGAAUCCUGCCUGGGUAA